rnacentral:sRNA from 1 species
CAAAAUAAAGUUGUAACAGUUGUUUAAAAAAAGCUUUCAAAAGAGCACAAGAUAUUGCAUGGAAAUUUUGUGUCUACUGGGAAUAUACUCAAUUCUGAAAAGGUUGAGGAUUUUCUUAACUCUGAUGAUAUUCAGUGCUUGCAAAGCAGAUUUUGGCUGGUUUGUUCGUCUUUUUGCCUAAUGCGUCACUAAGGAAUGCAAUCCUUGCACGCUACAUAUAUCAAACGCCUUUAAUAGCUUUAUGUUAUUUUUCAUUAUUUUAGUGACUUCUUGUCACUUUGAUAAUUCUAGGCUCUGGUUGCGUCAUUUUAACUUUGAUGCUUCUUGGAGUUGUUUGUUGGAGUCUUGCCAUUUGCUGGAUUAAGAGUUUCAAUGCCGUAUUCUUUUGCUCAUACACUUCAUCAUAGCGUCAUAAAAGAGGUUUCUAACAGGGUUAAGUGAUUCGGUUGGUUGGGGGUGUGGGGGUCCCUUAAAACAUUCCUGGUAGUAUCGAAGAUGGGGUGAACGCUAAAGAUAGAGCGGACGAAUGCUAUGGAUGUACCCUUGUUCAAAGGGCUUCAAGUUGGAGAUCGGGGUGGCGAACCUUAGGGCGGACGGACGCUACUCCAUGCUCUAGGUUGAAGAUUGAGCGGACUUUUUUCCAUGCGCUCCAGGUGGUCGUCCUUUCCCUCCUCCAAGCCGGGCGGGCACCUGUUAAAGGCACUCCGACGCUCAAGUUAGUAAUGUAACCGAACGUCUGAUCAGGGGUGGUCGGUCAGAAUGAUUGGCCUGAAGGUUGGCUCGGCCGGUCGGCUACUAAUUGGACUGACGACGCACUCAGACAGUAGGCUCGGAAGGAGACCAUACGACACCCUGGAUACCGUACGAUACAUUUAAGUAACAAAACUCCUUAGGAUUUAUUUAUAUUCAAAGGAAGUAUUUGAAGUUUAGAAAAGUUUAUUCAUCUCCCGUAUUUAAACAGCUAAGGGUGAUGUAGAUGUAAAAUUGAAACAAAUUUCCACUCCAAAAGAAAAAAAUGGAUUGAAGUGCAAAUUGUUUAAGUAUCUACCCACUCGAGAUUUGAUCUUUUCAAGCAAGAAAAAUGCAGAAUAAAAUA